ACCAAGCCAAGACACCGCUCUACCGCCGUAAAAUUCUCCUGGUAUCCUGGUAAUAUUUCUUUUCGGAUCAGUAGGGGAGCCCACUUCCCAUUCCCGUCACAUUCUAAAAAAAUCGAGUCUCCACUGGGAAUAGUGCGUGGCGAGCGGCUGAUGGAUCUGCUCGGCGGCGAUUCUUCGGAGGUGCUCAGCAAUACUGCUAGGUGCCGGCGGCCCACUCCCCGUUCUAACUCGGACGAUGCGGUGAGCGGUUGGCGUUGUGGUCGGCGGGCAGGCCGGGCGGUGUGGUGCUCGGCGGCUGGCUUGAUGUCAGCGGGCGGACCUCAUGUGGCUGUCGCGGCGGCUCUGCGGUGGGUGUGUGCAGCUGUCCAGGCAGAAAACGGAGAAGAAUCUUCCUGGGAAGUGGGCAGUAGCUUGCGCGAACGAGGAGGCGUGGAAAGUGGGUGCCAACGGGGUGAAGCCCGUGCAGUCCCCUGGCUGUGGAGAGUGGCAGCAGCCAUGGCCAGCCAUUUGAGGUGCAGCUUGUGUUUCAGAUCCGUUUCUGAGUGUGGUGCGUGGGUUUGAGUGUGUCUUCAUGUGUGUAGUAUUAAUACUCAUCUGCCAAUGGAGGAAUCCACGAGAUAGCAACUGGCGCACGGGAGGAUGUGAGCAAUCCCGAUCCCGUCGUUUAAUUUCCUCUUCAAUUUUGUUCGUUUCUGUUCUAAUUUCCACUGGAGGAAGCUGCAAGGGCGCAGGCGGGGAGCGCACGGGAGUGCAAGUUCCAAUCAAUUUUCACUUUGUUUCUGUUCGUUGUGUUCUUCCAAUUUUCCUUUUUUUUUUUCUGAAACAACGGAAGAAGGUCUAAUGCAACUUCUUGCAAGCCGGUUCUUCCCAAAUUGCUAAAUCGGUGUUCGAUUUCUGUCGAGUCUGCAGUCUGAAUAGAUCAUAGACUGAAUGUCCUACCUGAAGAGGCCAUGCUGAUAUAGAGCAGUGUUUCCAUACAAUUCCUACGCUCUGUGACGUGGAAGCUCGGCUGCUACUAAAUGGCACUACUCUGUAACAUAUUGCCUGAUAAAUGACUUGAAAAACUAAUUAGAAAAGUUAUCGGAGAAAUCCAUUAGCAUUUUAUUCAUGGCCUCCACAUUACAUUGGAAUGUGUAACCAUGUAAAAUAUCGAUUUGAGGGUACACGAAGUUGGGAUGUAAGCCGAUUUGGGGAUGAGUACAAAGGUGUAUCAUGGGUUGCUCAUUCAGUCCUCUGAGGUCUCAUCCCACUUCUUGAUCUGUAAAUAUUUGGUGACUUAAGUUUUUCAUUUGCUUGAUGUGGACAAGUUAUCUGAUGAGUUGAUCGAGAGGGAUAAUCCGCUUUGUAAUUACCAAAUUCUAUACAUUAUCUCUGGUGGUUACUCAGAUUUUAGUCCCUAAUACUUCAUAAAACUAAUCAGGUAUGCAUUGAAAAGAUUAUAACUGCAAUAUAUGAAAAGCUAAAAAAACUUACUCCCUCCUUCCCAUAAUAUAAGAUCAUUUUUGACACUAGUGUAGUGUCAAAAACGCUCUUAUAUUAUGUGACGGAGGGAGUAUGUUCCAAUUGACAACAUCUUUUCAAACCACUUGAACUGAAUUGGUGCGGGUGAGUGGUCCAAUUUAAUGCUGAUACAUUUGCACUGAAGAGUGUUGUUGGAGUUUCGAAUAUUAGCCUGUGUCAUUUUCAUUUGAGAACCAAGCAUUCUCGGUCAGUUUAGUGAAAGUAGCAGCUACUAUGAGCUUAAACUGAUCAAACAACUGUGGUUAUACCCAUUUUUUUCUAUGAAAUAUACUUCUGUUUAGGUAUAUAGAUUCUCAUUCUUUUAUGUGCUUCCUUUGGUUAUUUAUAUAUUUAUUAUAUUUCUCUCUUCAUAUACUCCAUUUUCAGUACCCUUUUUGGGAUACUUACGGAAUAUUUUCUGCUG